CCCGCCAAACACUUUACGUCUCAAUGACCCGUCCCCUCUGUCGAGUCUUUCCCCUCAGAUCGUCCGAUUCUUCUAAUCGAAAAGCCCUAGAGCGAUCCCCUCCUCUCCCCUUCGACUGCUUACUAGAGCGAUACGCGCUGUUCGUCUCCGAUCGCCCCAUUCUUGCAACCGGAAAAUCCUUUUGACUCUAUAGUUAAGAUUGCUCAAUCUUGUACGCGAAAGCUCUCAGUUCGACGCUCAGAUGGGUUCUUAUAGGAGCUAGGGCUUCUGAUCAGUAGAGAGACCACGAACCCUAGAUUCAUAUGCCAUUGCUUUCUGGCAGAGACAACGAAACCCUAGAUUCAGAUUUCAUUGCUCAACUAGAUUAGGUGGAUCUAAGGUCGAACACCAGCGUCAAUCUAAGGUAAAUGAUGAGAUUGCUUGCUGAGCCAAAGUCAGAUAGACCAUCCGCAGAUCCGAGCCUAAUUAUUUCAGGUGAUAUACUCCAAUUUCGUUUUUAUUAACUUUACAUGUCUCUUAAUAAUAAUCGUUUCACUUUUCGCAACCAAUUUAUCAUUCGUGCAUAUGUGCUCUGCAUAUAGUCUUGCAAAAUGCAGAUGAAUUUAUCUUUCUUCUUCUAAUAUAGACACCAUAUAUCGCACAUUUUUUUUUACAAAGCAUAGCAGUGGACAAGAAAAUCAAGCAUCAAACUAUGAAACUUGAAUCAGAAUUUGCCUUUCUUUUCAAGCAUUUACGAACUUUCUUUUUUUUUUUCUUUUGUAGUUCUUUAUGUACCUUUUUGUAAAUUUUUGUCUUUAUUAUUCUAUUUAUUCUUGCUAUUUUUUCUAUCUUCCUUUGGCCUUUCUUUCACUUCUUUGUUUUUUAUUUUAUCUUUUGUUGUAUUUACUAUCUCUCAGUCUAAUAUUCUUAAUUAUGGUCUUCUAUUUAUUAUAUAGUUCUUAUUAUUUCAAUGCUUGAUUGCUCUUGUGACUUCUAAUAGCGGCAAGUUUUUCUCUUUCAUUUAUACUUUCUAUACUUUUGAGAUCCUUGUCAAAGUUUCUUUCAUUUCCAUUAUGUAAUUAUAAAUUCUUUUUUCAUUCUUUCGUCCCCUGCUUUUGCUUUCGGUAUUAUAUCAAUUCUCUUUAUCUUUUUAUGUCUUAUUAGAUUUCAAUUGUUGAAGACUUUUAAUAAUUCUUUUUAUACUAUUCUAUUCUAUUUUAAUUUGUACCUUGUUCACCUUUUCAUGUAAAAGUUGUGUAUGUGAAAUUUUCUUACAAACUAUCAUUUUAUACAACAGAGUCCGGUAGUUUACUUUCUAUUGUCUUCAUCAAAAUUUUCUUCAUCAGCUUAAUAGACGAUUGUCUUUGAUUUGAUUUAUGAAACUUCCUUACAUGUUUCUCGUACUUUUGCUUGGGUUGGCUAGUUUCAUGCUAUUACUAUCUAACCAUGUAAUGUUUGUAUCAAACAAUUCCUCUAUUAUUGUUAUUUUAUUUCUAUCUGUUCUUUCUUGUUUUCCUUGUUCAACAAUUUUUCUUUUUAUUCUUUUUAUUGUUAGUUAAUAAUGGGUUUUUACCACUUGCUUUUUCUCCUUUUUAAUCUUAGUUACUUUGCUUUUAUUUUUAACCUGUUCAUACUAUCAUCUUCCAACUUUGCUAUUGUCUUAUUUCUUUUUCUUAUCUUCUCUCCACUGUUUUCUUGGUUGUAUUGUAUCUUUCCUCAAUUUUGAUUUGGAUUAUCUUAUUCUAACUUUAUUCAUGUGUAUCUUAUAUAUUUUCUUAUACAUAGAUUUUCUAUUUGUUAAAUAUCCUUAGUCUGUUUUCUUCAUUAAUUUUAUGGUGCAAAUACUUCUUUGGUUGUUGCUAGAAGUGGCAAAUUUUCACCGAACUUAACCAGCCAAUUAAGGUCUCACCUAGCUAUAUAUUGAUUUGGGUUUGGGUCAUCCCAAGUCAAAAGUUUUUCAGGUCAAAUCUAUUUAAAACUUAUGACCUUAUUUGAGUUAUGGCACCUAAUGGGUGCAGGACUCAGUUGAUUGUAUCAUGUUGGGACAAACAUAUGUACAUACUGAAAUAAAACAUAUCCUUUUGGCUUAAACGAAUUAAAGAGUUGGGUGAGCUUGACAUAUUGGUUUACCACUAUGUCCCCCAAACAUUAUGAAAUCCGUCAUUUCAAAUCAAAUGGGCCCAGGACUUAAGUUAUGUUAUUGUGUGAGUGAUUGAUACAGAAUUUUCGAGUGACUAACUGGAUGACUGGGUUUCAAUUUUUUCCUUCACUCGAAUCAAAUCCGGUUGGGUAUUUUGUCAUUUUUGGAGUCUUCCCUUUACCCAAAUCAAAUGGGAUAAUGAUAUUAUUUGAAAGCAAACCAACCUUACCCAAUUGCGUACCUCCUUUCUUUUUGCAACCUGAAAAUCAUGUCGCAAGUUUCGUUUGCAAUACUAUGGUUCAUAUUGAAGGUAUAUACUCUAAAUCCUACAAUUUUGAAUGAUUUUUAUAGUGAAAAUGUCUCUAAUUGUGAUGGUUUGGAAAAGGCUUAAUUGCUUCCCUCAUUGUAGGGUAAGGUGAUCGAUUAGCGUAUUUAGUUUUGUCGAUCUCCAAAAUGUUUAGAGGAGAUUAGCUAACCAUGAUAAAUCUGCGAUUACCAUUACAUGAAGAUUUUGAAUAUUUUGCUUCUAAGAGUUCUGUUAAAAAACAAUUAAACAUUCAGGUGAUGUUGUCUUCUGUUUGGCAUGUUUUCUUUUAUUCAUGAUAACUUUCUGAAAGAUAGAAAUCUCUAAUUAAUAAUUUUUGACUCUUUUAUAAGAUGCUAAUAUUAUCUACCUAGUAUCAGUUUUAGGAACUAUAGCAAAAUUAUGUCAAACGAGUCACGGGAUGCUUGAGGUUUAAUGUUCAAGUGAUCUGUUUGUUCUUUUUUUUUGUAUAUACUAAUAUCUACUAAAGGGCAUUGCAGUUACCAACCUGUGGCUGAUUAAAAUGUUUGGCCAUUUUUAUAUUUGCUUAUUCCAUAUCACUUACCUCCCUUCGUCUUGUUUGGGGGAGAGUAAUGCAAAAUAUAUGUUCUUUUGUUAACAUUCCUCAAUGGAUGGAAUACAAGUCCCCAAGAGGACUUGAGAUUUUCUUUUUCAUUGUCAAAGUAUGCGAGUUAUUUGGAUGGUAGCAAGUGGCAGUGUAUGAGGUGGUUGGUAACUUGAACAUUGAGGUGGCAGCAAUUGAAAGCAAAGUAUCUCAGUCUGCGGUCUUGAAUAAUGACAUUAGUUGUGUUUGAGGCGUCAGCUAACUUGCUCAAGUAGCUAUUCCUAUAUAUGCUUUGUCUUGGAGAUAAUUUGUAAGUUGAUUACUAUAUCUAUAUGUUACCUGAGAAGCUUGAGGUAGAGUUUCUUAUAUGAAGCCACUAAUACUUUUUGUUCUUUGAUCAUAUCUGCGCUGCUUAUUUGAUAUGAGUUAACUCCCAAAAGUUAAUUUUACCAGUAUCUGUUGAACCCAGUUGGUGGAACCGUGGAAGUAUCUAUUAACAUUUUCUUUUCUUUAGGUUUGCUUGCUCUAUUAAUCUAUUGCAAUUCUGUCAGGUUUGAGCUUAGAAUAGAAGAUAGAAGUUAAUCUCUUUCAUGGAUGCAAAGUAGUGAUUAUUUAUUCCUUAAUAUGAAUGUUUAUUUUUAGUUUUGGGUUCAAAUAUUCUGUUGCUUAAUAUUUUUUUUUCACAAAGCAAAUUCAUAGUGGCUAUCUGCAAUUUGGAGGACGUAAACAACUGCCAAAGCAGUUAGGUGUUGUCCUCUGAUAUGAGCUCAGGAUAAUGAAGUAGAACUUCUGCCUCUUUCUAGUGAGUUAGAGCUUAUAAAUUCUAGUGUAUGUUUUGCAAUUUUUCUGUAGUUUUAGGUUCUUGAUUCUACUUCUUGUAUCUUUAUAAAGCAAAUUCAUUUAGGCCCUAUUUAGAUGUCAGAAUAGGUUAUCCAAGAAUAACUUAUUCGGUAUACGAAGUUUCCAGUAUAAUUAUAACCAAGGAUUUUAAUUUUUGCUUUUCCAAAGAUCUUGCUAUCUAUUAUUUGGUAGAAUAGCAUAUUUCACCUCGAGAUGAUUUAUCUUAUUCUGUCUAAAAUUUUUUUUGAAGGUUGUAUAUAAUAUUCCAUUCUAAACAUUUGAUCACACUUUAUCUACCAAAUAUAUAAAUUUCUUGACUAAAUCAAUGGGAUAUACUGAAUAAGAUAUUCAGGCUUCCAAACAGGGCCUUAUGCAAGUUUGUUUGAUUUGAUUUUGGAUCUUCAUGGGCUAACCAGCUUUAUUGAAAAUGCCAUGACCCUUUAGGGCACUGCCAAUACUUGCCUAUCUUAAAAUUUGUGCCGAGAGUUCACUAUUAGAGUGGAUGCUUUGGUGUUUGUAUGGUUAGUUUAUAACUUUGAUUUGGAUAAAUGGUAAUCGAUGAUUUGGUUUUUAUAUGGUCGUUUUAUCUGAACUCCAAUCUGAUAGCUUUACAUUUGGGUCUAUUUCAUAUAUGAAAUUGUUGUAUCUGUAACUUAUUUUGGAUAUGGAACCUUAAGGAUGCAAUUAUGUUUACCAGAAUUGCCAUGUUCUUAAUUAAAAGCUGAUUUAGAGUGACUGAAAUUGGACUCAAGUUGUUGAGGUCUCCAUCAUAAAACUAGGCCUAAGUGGUACCGGUUGCACUAAACUUUUAUAUUUUCGACAUCCAAACUCUGAAAAAUGUAUAGCAUUAAACAUUAAAAAUAAUUCUAAUAUUUUGAAGGAGACACUGCACGAUUUACCGCAUUUAGAAAGCGGUGAUUUAUUCAUUGCAUUAGACUAGUUUUGUGAAUAAAUUUCUUGAAGGACUAUUUUAUAAGUAUAGUAUUUUUAAAAUUUAUUAAAAAAAUUUCGUGUAAAUUUUACACCCGUUCGUCUCAGGAUCAAUAUUUUUUAAAAUAUUAAAAUCCAAAAGGGUUGGUCAACCCUAGGAUAACAGGGUGUAAGACUAACACCUGUUUUUGGGAUGUACAGCAAGUGUUUAGUUGGUGCAUUGUUCUUGGGUUGUUAGGAUUGUAGGGAUGCAGCUGAAACAUAUUUGUUUGUUUGUUUGUUUGUUUGUUUUUUAUUGUUCUUCUGUCAGUUGGAUGCUUGGAUCCUAUCCUAAGGAUAGAAGAAGGAAAUAGCCAUGAAACCCAGGACCUUAAUUAUUUGCUAGAACUUUCUCUUUUCAUCGUACUUAACUAAAUUGUAUCCUCGAUGAGUUCCAAGAAAUUGUGAGCACAAUCUGGGAGCAUGUUGUUUUGUCUAACACAAUGUUCACAACAACAUCUAAUGCAAUAAAGCAAUGACAAUAGACUUGAUGGCAUUUAAUUUGGCACAAAAUCUUGCCCAAAAGAGUUGCGAGUACAAGAAUAGGUUUUCUUUUAGGUGUCCCUGUAUAGCUGAAUUGAAAAGCUUGUUUAUUUAUAAAGAUGUGUUCAUUAAGUAUUCUCUUAUAGAGGACAAUCUUAGACGUGCUAAAAUAUUUUAAUGUUUUUGCUAAAAUAAUAUAUUACUGAUCUUGGUGCUGGUUCUUUUUCCUUCAACUAUUUCUAUUACUUUUCUUUCUCUACUUUUAUUACUACUGUUUCUUCAUGUUUAGCCUUUUUUUUUGUGGGGAGGUAGGGGGUGUGGUGUGUUGGGGGGUGGUUGGUAUAUUCAUUAGCAAGUGAAUUAUGUCUCAAAAUUUGUAAACAUAUCUUAGCAUUUGUUUUAUAGUUUCUGUUUAUAUUUGAUUUUUAUUUUCCUGCUAUGAUGAUCUUGCUCCUUGCACAAUAAGAUUCUUUCGCUUGAUUGGAAAGAAAGAAUUUGUUGGUAUUUUGUAUGUUGCGUUAAGAAUUUGGUCAACGAGAAUGAGAUUCCUUUUUUUUUCUAUGUUGUUAUAGAGCCUGAGUGGUUUUUCUCUUGUUUCUUUUAUUUGGUUUUUGUUGUUUCUAUUACUGCAUCUCUUUUUAUUUUUUUGACCAAAUCAGGAAUUCUUUUGCUUUCUAUAAUUUUUUUCUAAACACCAUUGCCGGAGAGCCCAGCCGUAGUUCAAUAGCUGAAAACCUUGCAGAAAGCUGCAUCCUUUAUUAUGCAAAAGGCAUUUGAUGCAAUCAGUGUAGGAAAGUCUAAGAUUUAGUGUUGCAGCUAAUGCAUCACUUGGUUGCAUCUACUGCUGUUCCCUAUGCUGCUUCUUUUACUUCGGCUGCUUCUUUUACUCUUCUUUGCUUGGUUUUACUGUUGUUGUUUCUUCUGCUUAAUUUUUUUAUGGGUGGCAAACUUUGGAUGUCCCAUAUUUAUGGGCAACCAUUUGCUGCAGGUUGUGAUACCAAUUAGAGUUGUUAUUUGCUGUCGGUUCUGAUAUGUAUUAGAGUUUGUUGUCUUGCAAAAUUUUGAUAUUUUUGGCCUGCAGGUUAAGGCUUCGCUGAUUCGUGACUGAUUAGUAAAUAAAUCUGAGGCUUUCUUUUGAUUUAUUUUCUGUUUUCCAGUUCGCCAUUUAUUUCUUAUGCUUUUUACUCUACCAAGUUGCAUCAAUCUUGCAAAGUAUUAAAAGUAAUAUUGAUUAUUUAAUUGAUUUAUGCUAAUGCUGUUGUUGUUCCUCUAUAUGUAUAAUUUUACUUCUGCGACUGUUUUUGUUUCUAUAUACGGUUUCCGCUUUUUCCUCUGUUGUUACUCCUGGUCUUGGUGCUGCUGCUUUUUUCUUCAACUAUUUAUUUUGCUCUUAGUUCUCUACUUUUAUUACUGUUUUUCUUCGAAUGUUGUAAGCAUAUCUUAACAUUUGUUCGUAAUAGUUUAUGCUUUUCUUUUUCUUCACCUUGAGCUACGAAGAUUUUGUUCCUUGUACAAUAAAGAUUCUUUAGCUUGAUUGGGAAGGCAGAAUUAGUUGGUCUAUUAUGUUUUAUGUUACGAAUUUGGCCAAAAGAAGGAAUGGUAUGCAAAAUUUGGAUGCUCUGUUCCAUAGAUAACCAUUUGCGGCUAUUUAUGUAAAAAUAUAUGGAUUAGAGAUCGAUUGUGCAUGCGGAAUGGAUCAGGUUUUCUCGGGGAAGGAUUGAGAUUGAAGAUUCCGUGUUUGAUUGAUGGGUUAUAGUUUCGAUUAAAUAUUUGGUUGGUUUUCCCCUUUUUUUGGUCCUCUUUAUUUAGUUUUUUAAUUGUUUUAUCCUAUUAGUAUACUUUCAAUUCUUAUCGUGUCGUUAUUAUUUAUGGUUUCCCUUUUUUUCUCUGUUGAUGGAGAGCUGUAGCGGUGUUUUGUGCUGUUUCUAUUAUUCGUUUUUUUCCCGUCUUUCUGUUGCUUCUGUUUCUUUGCCCGAAUCUGAAAUUCUUUUGCUGCUUCUAAAUU